CGUGUAGGCGGUUGGUCAAGUCGGGUGUGAAAGCCUGGGGCUCCAGCCCCAGAAGUGCAUCCGAAACUAGCCAGCUGGAGCGCGAUAGAGGAGGGUGGAAUUCCUGGUGUAGCGGUGAAAUGCGUAGAUAUCAGGAGGAACACCGGCGGCGAAGGCGGCCCUCUGGAUCGUUGCUGACGCUGAGACGCGAAAGCGUGGGGAGCAAACAGGAUUAGAUACCCUGGUAGUCCACGCCUUAAACGAUGGGUACUAGGUGUUCGGGGUGUUGACCCCCUGAGUGCCGCAGUUAACGCAUUAAGUACCCCGCCUGGGGACUACGGCCGCAAGGUUAAA
rnacentral:rRNA from 1 species